GAUGAACGCUGGCGGCGUGCCUAAUACAUGCAAGUCGAGCGAACAGAUGGGAAGCUUGCUUCUCUGAUGUUAGCGGCGGACGGGUGAGUAACACGUGGGUAACCUACCUAUAAGACUGGGAUAACUCCGGGAAACCGGGGCUAAUACCGGAUAAUAUUUUGAACCGCAUGGUUCAAUAGUGAAAGGCGGUUUCGGCUGUCACUUAUAGAUGGACCCGCGCCGUAUUAGCUAGUUGGUAAGGUAACGGCUUACCAAGGCGACGAUACGUAGCCGACCUGAGAGGGUGAUCGGCCACACUGGAGCUGAGACACGGUCCAGACUCCUACGGGAGGCAGCAGUAGGGAAUCUUCCGCAAUGGGCGAAAGCCUGACGGAGCAACGCCGCGUGAGUGAUGAAGGUCUUCGGAUCGUAAAACUCUGUUGUUAGGGAAGAACAAAUUUGUUAGUAACUGAACAAGUCUUGACGGUACCUAACCAGAAAGCCACGGCUAACUACGUGCCAGCCGCCGCCGCAG
rnacentral:rRNA from 1 species